UUUUAUUUUUCUAUUUUGAAUCAUUGAGGACAAUGCUUCUCCUAAGUGUGGGGGGAGCCUAAUAAAGUGUCUUUAGUCGUAGUGUUUCCAAACUCCCUUGAACUUUAUUCUUUUGUUUUGUUUUAUUGUAAAAGGCAUGAAUAAGCAGCUUGUUUUUAUUGUUUUAUUAUGACAUAAAUUUUUUGUUGUCUCUUCAAUGGUCGUUUCUUGUACAUGAAAGUGAUUUCUUGUGUUGUAAGUGUUCUUGCUAUACCCACAUCAAGUUUUAUUGUGAAAAUUCUCC
rnacentral:lncRNA from 1 species